AAAAAAAAGAAUAAGAAAAAAUAAAAAGAAAGCCUGCUAAGUCGAAAAUCUAAAAGAUGACAUAGGAAAAAAUUAAGGCAUCCCAUUAGACUAAUAACUCAAAAGAAACAGUCCAGGAAAAAAUUAGGGAUAAGAAGAAAAUCGAGAUGAAGGAUCACCAAAAAUCCUUAAACAAAAGAAAGAACAAGAACAAAAUUGUAUGACUACAAAAAAAAGUAGGUGAUUGUCACCUCAAGAAAAAACAUCAUUGGUUCCCGCACCAUAACAUUUUUACCUUCAAAAUCUUUUUUGGAGCUUGAAUGUGUGGGUUGAAU
rnacentral:lncRNA from 1 species